rnacentral:rRNA from 1 species
GACAGAGGGUGCAAACGUUGUUCGGAAUUACUGGGCGUAAAGCGCGUGUAGGCAGCGACUGCAAGUCGGGUGUGAAAGCCCUGGGCUCAACCUAGGAAGUGCACUCGAAACUGCAGGGCUUGAGUUCUGGAGAGGAAGGCGGAAUUCUCGGUGUAGAGGUGAAAUUCGUAGAUAUCGGGAGGAACACCAGUGGCGAAGGCGGCGAUCUGGGUCGAUACUGACGCUGAGGUGCGAAAGCGUGGGGAGCAAACAGG